CUGAGGCCAGAAGUUCAAGACGAGCCUGGGCAGCAUAGCAAGACCUCCACUCUACAGAUAAAAAAAAAUUACCCCAUGUGAUGACGCCUGCCUGUGGUCCCAGCCACUCAGAAGCCUGAGGUGUGAGGAUUGCUUGAGCCUGGGAGGUCAAGGCUGUGAGCUGUGAUUGUGCCACUGUACUCCAGCCUGGGUGACAGAGUGAGACCCCCUUCUCAAAAAAAAAGAAACACUCGCAGCCAAAGCAGUUUCUCAAGCUUGUCCACUAUGACAAAUCACCUGAAGAGCUGAUGGAAAACACAGAUUCCCCGGCACCCCCAUCUACUCACUUGGAACUGGGACAGCCCUGGAAAUUUCACUGUUAACAGUGGGGUAGGAAAGGCAAAGAUCACAGGAGAAUCAGAGAGGAUGGAGGAGAAAGGAAGAUUCCAGAAAGGAACAGAGGGAAACAGGCAGCAUCAGAUGCUUGGAGCCCAGACAGCAAAGGAGGCCAGUGAUGUGGCAAUGGGGUCACCAUGGGUGACCGGAAGUGGAGCUGUUUUGGUAGAGCCAUGAGCCAGAUGGCUGAGGGUACUGGGAGGAUGAGCAGAUUGGGGCAGAUGCUCUGCAAGUCAGGAAAGCAGAGACAGGACGGAGCUGGAGAAGUGGGCAGGUGAUGAAGACUGCUUCACAGGGUGCCCGGGGCGGCUGUGCUUCCAGCAUUUCACAGAGGGAAGACAGGUACGGAGAUUAAGAACCACCCUGACGCCCCACCACAGGUAAGUCGUGGGGCUGGGGCUGCUCUGGGGGCCCCUCAAACUCACUGCAUCUCAAAACCAAGCUCAGAUGCACCCCUUCCCUUCCAAGCAUGGAGGGGAGUUCAGCACGAAACCCUUAUUCUCCAGCCUUGGAGUCCUCCUCACAUUUCCCCCAACCCCUGCCCUGUCUCAGGCCUGACAGUCGUACGGUCUCCUACCUUCCAGCCUCUUCCCACCACUCUUGCCAACAGCCUCCACAACCCAAACCCCUCUACUGGCUUCUCAUCACCCUGGAAUAAAACCACAGGAGCCCAGACAGCCACACUGGGGACUUCUUCCAAGGUCCUCCACCAUCUGGCCUGGGCAGCCCCCUCCACUGCGCCAACUUCCUCUUUCCUUUCCUGAAUUCUGCUCUUCUGCAGACACACCAUGGCGGCCCUGGCUGAGGGCCUGGCCUGUGUCCUAGCUCUUCCCUCUGCCCGGGACUCUCCUGAGGUUCUCAACAGGCCCCUUCCCUCAGGUCGCUUCAGGGAUCUGCUUCAAUGUCACCUCUCGAAGAGCCCUUCAGAGCACACUACCAUGCCGCCAUCACCCGCCACCUUCUUCCCCAGCUUUCCUCUCCUGCCUGUGACUGCCUGCACUGCCUGAUGCGGCUGUGUGACUCCCAUCUCUCCCACCAGAACACGCACAGAGAGCUGAGACCUCGUCUGUCCUAUCAUCUGCUGCAUUGCCAUAUCUGAGGACGCAAAAGGGGGGCUGGUCGUAGUAUGCACGCGCUGAAUGAACGCCUGAACUCAGGGAGGAGCUGCUCAGAACACAACUACCUGGGCCAGAGACCCCAGUCCCAUCACCACCUUUAGGACUCAGCAUUCAGCCCCUCACUCGGGCAUUCGAGGCCUUCCCGAUCUUCCCUCCUGAGGCAUUCUAAAUGGAACUUCUCCCACAACCAAACCAGCACCCCACAAAGUAACCUGACCCACACUCCCCUCUCCCUAGGGAAGCGUCACCCCAGCCCACCCUCCAUCAAUGUCCCAUGAGACCCAUGAGACAUAAGCCCUCAGGCCUUUGAGCCUCCCUGACGCUCCAGGCCAGACUCCAGACCUGGCACAGGGCCUGUGCCGCUCAGCCCAGAACCCACGGGCAGUAAAUAUUUGUUGAAUGAUG